UUACGGUCACAUCAUGGUGAAACACCGGUUCCCGUAAAAUUACUGAAGUUAAGCAAAGUCGAGCCUGAUCAAUAAUUAGAUGGGUGACUGCUUAGGAAUAACAUGUACUGUAAG